AACGCGCCAUCAGCUGGAGGCGAGUAGAUGCUCUGCAGUGAGCGCGCCUCUGGGUACCAAAAGUGAGGUGCAAUGGAGUGACGACCUGAGAACCGGGCUUGACCUGAGAACUGAGAAGCGGGUUUAGCCUCGAGAAGACUGUUAGAAGCGCUCAACUGUUUAUGCUUCCUCACCGAGAGAAGUCACAAGAAGAAUUUCCCAACACGUAUGCAAACCAGGUGGCUUCCUUCCUCUCUUCUUUGGGUUAGGCAAAGCUAGAGUUUAGCUUAGUAUCCUCCAUUGAUGGUGGAUAUUUCUCUCCCUCUCUAUCUCUCUAUGUGUUGUUUGAGACAACGUUUCUCUGUAUAACAGUCCUGGCUGUCCUGGAACUCACUUUGUAGACUAGGUUGGCCUCGAACUCUUACUAGUUUUCAAUGUUAGUACUCUAAAUAAACUCGAAGACGACUCCUGUAUCACAGAGAGACCAUAAUUUCAUUACGGUUUUAUUAUUAAUGAUUUUAACAGAGUUAGUAACAUUGAGCAUAAUAGCUAUGGAAAGUGAACUUGGGAUUCACUCAGCAGUGGUUAAGUUGAGCUAUUUUAUUCCCUAUGUCAUGUUAUUUAGUUAUGCAUUAAAAUGAAUUACUUUGAGCAGAAACAAA
rnacentral:lncRNA from 1 species